UGGGGAAUAUUGGACAAUGGGCGAAAGCCUGAUCCAGCAAUGCCGCGUGAGUGAUGAAGGCCUUCGGGUUGUAAACUGCUUUUGUACGGAACGCAACGGCCUUUUCUAAUAAAGAGGGCUAAUGACGGUACCGUAAGAAUAAGCACCGGCUAACUACGUGCCAGCAGCCGCGGUAAUACGUAGGGUGCAAGCGUUAAUCGGAAUUACUGGGCGUAAAGCGUGCGCAGGCGGUGAUGUAAGACAGUUGUGAAAUCCCCGGGCUCAACCUGGGAACUGCAUCUGUGACUGCAUCGCUGGAGUGCGGCAGAGGGGGAUGGAAUUCCGCGUGUAGCAGUGAAAUGCGUAGAUAUGCGGAGGAACACCGAUGGCGAAGGCAAUCCCCUGGGCCUGCACUGACGCUCAUGCACGAAAGCGUGGGGAGCAAAC
rnacentral:rRNA from 1 species